rnacentral:rRNA from 1 species
GGCAUUGCCCCACUAACGGCGAGUGAAGCGGCAACAGCUCAAAUUUGAAAUCUGGCCCCCCCCCGGGGGGCCCGAGUUGUAAUUUGCAGAGGAUGCUUUGGGCGAGGCCGCCUUCCGAGUUCCCUGGAACGGGACGCCACAGAGGGUGAGAGCCCCGUCUGGUCGGACGCCGAGCCUCUGUAAAGCUCCUUCGACGAGUCGAGUAGUUUGGGAAUGCUGCUCAAAAUGGGAGGUAUAUGUCUUCUAAAGCUAAAUACCGGCCAGAGACCGAUAGCGCACAAGUAGAGUGAUCGAAAGAUGAAAAGCACCUUGAAAAGGGGGUUAAACAGUACGUGAAAUUGUUGAAAGGGAAGCGCUCGUGACCAGACUUGGGGUCGGCGGAUCANCCGGCUGUUCUCGCCGGCGCACUCC